rnacentral:tRNA from 1 species
GGAGAGAUGCCCGAGAUGGCCGAAGGGGCACGACUGGAAAUCGUGUGUCCCGUCCAAAAACGGGACCGAGGGUUCGAAUCCCUCUCUCUCCGCCA